GGCAGCAUAUGCUGAGGAGUGACAGGAAGGGAUUUUUCAUCCCUUGGCCAAGGAGUUUCCCAUGCUGAUAGAUCAUUACACCAGCAUCCUGGGAUUCUGCUCAGCCUUUCAAAUACAAGUCCUCCGUUUGCUCUUCUAGUGUAGUUGAUUGAGGAUAGAGUGGAUACGUGAAACACCAUGGGCGUCUAACCGAUCAAACUGGUGGGUCCCGUGGACUUCUUUUAUUCCCCACAGAUCCCACUGCAAGCAGUUGUAGCCCCCCUUAAAGACAUUCCCGUAUGUUUUGGUACAAGGACUUGCAAGCCCUUUGAGUUGUGGUUUCCAAUUUCAUAUGUUAUCUGUCUUCCUGUUUUCAGAGAUUCCUCAAUAUUUCUUAGUCAUAUCGACACUUCUUAAUUUGGGGGGCUGUUAAAGAUUUCAUUUAUCUAUAAUUUAAUGUCAUUUCUAGAGAAUUUGAUGAGAGAGUGAAAGGUGGGUGUGCUCAGUUCAUUAUUUGACUUCUAUUUUGCAGAUAAGAUGGAUUGUGUUUCUCUAGAUGAAAAUUGUUUUUUGUUGAAAUCGGUUUCUAUUUCCAAUAAUGUCCAAGUUCUCUCAUAUUUACUUUGCUAUUGUUGUCUUAUUUUAUUUGAUGUAUCUUUGAUCUCUUCUCUGCAGUCUGAUCAGAAGAAUUAUCCAUGUCAUUUUCACUCAUCUAAGCAAGAGGAAGUCCAGUAAAGAAAGAGAACUGAAGGAGAGACCAGAUAGCCAUUUGUCUUCAGAGUCACUUACGUUCUGUUCAUGUCUCCAUUUGCUAAAUUUCUUUGAGUACCCAUGAAGAUGAACUGGCAUGUCAUCAGGUUACUCACAGCUGGGCUGACUUGGGGGAUUUUACCUUUGGAUCUGAGAGUACAAACACUUUCAUCAAUAUUCUAUUUCCCAAAGAUGUUGAUGAAUGCCAGACCCCAGGAAUCUGCAUGAAUGGACACAGCGUCAACAAUGAAGGGUCCUUCCGCUGUGACUGUUCCCCAGACCUGGCUGUGGGUGUGGACAAACGUGUGUGUGUUGGAGGAAGGGCAGCAGCCUACCAGUGCAGCUCUGAUUCUCUUUGCCACCUGAAGACAAAACUUCAGUAAGCACGUUAUCUCCAGGUAUGAGGAAGAACCCCUGGCUUCCCUCGAUGUUGUGCACGAACUUUCUACCCUGGAAGUCUGACUUGUGCGGAUGUCCUCUCCCCUCUGGCCU